rnacentral:rRNA from 1 species
GACGAACGCUGGCGGCGUGCUUAACACAUGCAAGUCGAACGAAGUGGCGAACGGGUGAGUAACGCGUAAUCAACCUGCCCUUCAGCGGGGCACAACAGUUGGAAACGACUGCUAAUACCGCAUACUGAAGGAGGGGAUUGCGUCUGAUUAGCUAGUUGGAGGGGUAACGGCCCACCAAGGCGAGGAUCAGUAGCCCGUCUUGUGGGUGGAACGGCCACCUUGGGACUGAGACACGGCCCAGACUCCUACGGGAGGCAGCAGUGGGGAAUCUUCCGCAAUGGACGAAAGUCUGACGGAGCAACGCCGCGUGAGUGAUGACGGCCUUCGGGUUGUAAAGCUCUGUUAAUCGGGACGCGGUACCGGAAUAGAAAGCCACGGCUAACUACGUGCCAGCAGCCGCGGUAAUAC